rnacentral:rRNA from 1 species
GGAGGGUGCAAGCGUUAAUCGGAAUUACUGGGCGUAAAGCGCGCGUAGGUUGUUUUGCAAGUCAGAGGUGUAAUCCCACGGCUUAACCGUGGAACUGCCUUUGAUACUGCAUAACUUGGAUCCGGGAGAGGACAGCGGAAUUCCAGGUGUAGGAGUGAAAUCCGUAGAUAUCUGGAAGAACAUCAGUGGCGAAGGCGGCUGUCUGGACCGGUAUUGACGCUGAGGCGCGAAAGCGUGGGUAGCAAACAGGAUUAGAUACCCUGGUAGUCCACGCUGUAAACGAUGGAUGCUGGAUGUCGGGGCGCAAGCCUCGGUGUCGUAGUUAACGCGAUAAGCAUCCCGCCUGGGGACU